UACGUAGGGUGCAAGCGUUGUCCGGAAUUAUUGGGCGUAAAGAGCUCGUAGGCGGUUUGUCGCGUCGAAUGUGAAAACCCCGGGGGCUCAACCCCCGGGCCUGCAUUCGAUACGGGCAGACUAGAGUUCGGUAGGGGAGUCUGGAAUUCCUGGUGUAGCGGUGAAAUGCGCAGAUAUCAGGAGGAACACCGGUGGCGAAGGCGGGACUCUGGGCCGAUACUGACGCUGAGGAGCGAAAGCGUGGGGAGCAAACAGG
rnacentral:rRNA from 1 species